CUACCAGGGUUUCUAAUCCUGUUUGCUCCCCACGCUUUCGCGCCUCAGCGUCAGAACCGGACCAGUAAGCCGCCUUCGCCACUGGUGUUCUUGCGAAUAUCUACGAAUUUCACCUCUACACUCGCAGUUCCACUUACCUCUUCCGGUCUCAAGCCAUCCAGUAUCGAAGGCAAUUCUGUGGUUGAGCCACAGGCUUUCACCCCCGACUUAAAUGGCCGCCUACGCGCCCUUUACGCCCAGUGAUUCCGAGCAACGCUAGCCCCCUUCGUAUUACCGCGGCUGCUGGCAC
rnacentral:rRNA from 1 species